AUAUAAGGAAGUCAUUCAAAUUUAUAAGAAUAAGAGCCACUCCCCAGCUGACCAAUGGUUGUUGUUUAGUCCUUUCACACACACCCAACUUUCCAUGGUACAGGAAUAUAAAUAGAUAGUUCUCAAGGGAAGAAAUUCAAGUCCCCUAUAACCAUUUGGAAAAAAAAAAGUCUGAAAUCAUGAAUAAUCAGGAAAAUGCAAAUUAAAUUUGACAUUCUAUCUCACACUAAUCAGAUUGGUAAAGCUGAUUAAAAAAAGAAGAAAAAGAAUGAUGAUAAAGAGGGGAGGGGCUUUGAGAAAACAGGCAGAUCCAUCCUUCCUUCCUUCCUUCCUUCCUUCCUUCCUUCCUUCCUUCCUUCCUUCCUUCCUUCCUUCCUUCCUUCCUUCCUUCCUUCCUUCCUUCCUUCCUUCCUUCCUUCCUUCCUUCCUUCCUUCCUUUCUUCCUCUCUCUCUCUCUCUCUCUUUCUUUCUCUCUUUCUCUCUCUCUCUCUUUCUUUCUCUCUCUCUCUCUCUUUCUUCUUUCUUUCUUUCUUUCUUUCUUUCUUUCUUUCUUUCUUUCUUUCUUUCUUUCUUUCUUUCUUUCUUUCUUUCUUUCUUUCUUUCUUUCUUUCUUUCUUUCUUUCUUUCCUUACCUUCCACCUUAGAAUCAAUACUAUAUAUUGGUUCCUAGGCAGAAGAGUGGUAAGGGCUAGACAAUGGGGGUUAAGUGACUUGCCCAGGGUCACAUAGCUAGGAAGUAUUUGAGGCCAGAUUUGAAACUAGGACCUCCCAUCAGGUCUGGCUCUCAAUCUACUGGGCUACUCA
rnacentral:lncRNA from 1 species